CAGCCGCCACGGGAAUACGUAGGUGGCAAGCGUUGCCCGGAAUUAUUGGGCGUAAAGGGCUCGCAGGCGGUUUCUUAAGUCUGAUGUGAAAGCCCCCGGCUCAACCGGGGAGGGUCAUUGGAAACUGGGAAACUUGAGUGCAGAAGAGGAGAGUGGAAUUCCACGUGUAGCGGUGAAAUGCGUAGAGAUGUGGAGGAACACCAGUGGCGAAGGCGACUCUCUGGUCUGUAACUGACGCUGAGGCACGAAAGCGUGGGGAGCAAACAGGAUUAGAUACCCCCGUAGUCCCUGUCUCUUAUAC
rnacentral:rRNA from 1 species